rnacentral:rRNA from 1 species
CUGUUCAGAUUAGCCAUGCAUGUCUAAGUAUAAAUGGUAUACAAUGAAACUGCGAAUGGCUCAUUAAAACAGUUAUAGUUUGUUUGGUAAUCAAACUUACAUGGAUAACCGUGGUAAUUCUAGAGCUAAUACAUGCUGUUCUGCCCGACUUACGAAGGGCCGUAUUUAUUAGAUAUCAGCCAAUAAGCAUCCGCUAUUGUGGUGACUCAUAGUAACUUAAUCGGAUCGCAUGGGCUCGUCCCGCGACAAACCAUUCAAGUUUCUGCCCCAUCAUGCUUUCGAUGGUAGUGUAUUGGACUACCAUGGCUUUCACGGGUAACGGAGGAUUAGGGUUCGAUUCCGGAGAGGGAGCCUGAGAAACGGCUACCACUUCCACGGAAGGCAGCAGGCGCGUAAAUUACCCAAUCCUAAUUCAGGGAGGUAGUGACAAGAAAUAAUGGGUCGGAGUUUUGCUCCGGGACUGCAAUGAGACGAAUUUAGACCCCUUAUCGAGGACCAAU